AUAACUUGUGGAAAAGCGAAGUCCACAUAUUUCGCGGUUUGCUGUUUUAUCUCUUUCCCAUACGAAAAGUCGAACUGAAAGAAAUGGCUUCGCUCGGUUUCAACCUCGGAUUCUCCUUCUCCGGUGUGAAGAAUAGACAAGUUUCCGUGAAUGGAAGAGCUCGCGUUAUCUCCUGUUGUUCCUCUUCUUCUUCAGAAGCAUCUCAGCAGGGGAUUUCUACCACGAAGCCUCCUCCUGAGAUAGAGCUCGAGUUCUUCGGUCCGAAGCCUGGGAGCGACGGGACGUAUCCGAGGGAUAAAGCGAAAGCUGUGAGCGGAGAGAAGCUUCUGAGAAGCAUCAUGCAGGAUAGCAAGAUCGAGCUUUACGCUACUUACGGGAAAGUGAUGAACUGUGGAGGUGGAGGAAGCUGUGGAACUUGCAUUGUUGAGAUUCUUGAUGGCAGAGAACUUCUGAACGAGAGAACAGAUACAGAAAACAAGUAUCUGAAAAAGAAGCCUGAAUCUUGGAGGCUCGCGUGCCAAACAAUAGUAGGGAACAAAGAAAACUCAGGAAAGGUUGUGGUUCAGCGGAUUCCGCAAUGGAAGAAGUGAAUUCCCUUGAAACAAGAAGAUUGAGAAUCAUGCCAAAUUAGGAAGGAUAUACAUCAUUCCAUCAACAUUGAAGAUUCUCAAUGGAUACGUCCCCCCUCAAAAUAAAUAUCUUGACCAAAUUAAAUAGACCAUCUACUCUGUAUCUCUCUCUCACACACGCCAAAUUCGUCAAAGCUAACUGUAAACAUAAACACUAUAAAAGAAACCAGUUUUCCAGCUCGGAAAAUACAACAAAUAGCGUCAAGCCUGAUGAAUGAUACAUAUCACCUAAAAGAAACCUCAUAACCGGUGAAAAAACAGCCAGGACGCAAUCUUUUUUUUUUCCUCAUUUAUUAACUUUUAAACAUUUUCUUGUUGAGAAAGAAAAAACAAAAAGCAAGGGGCCAAAGAGAGGCAUCGCUAUCAUAUCCCUCUGAAUCCUCCUCCUCCUCCUCCCUCCUGUAAUAAUAAAUUAUUAUUAUUAUUUUUGUUUUGUUUUUGUGUGAUUGCUGUUUUGGCUCCCAAAAUUUAAUAUCCAGAAAUAUCUAUAAUAUAUUUUUUUAAUAUCCCUCCCCCCCUUGUUGAACGGUGAGCACAAAAUAAAUAAUAAAAAAAAACGCAAAAGGGAAUUGAAGAAAGAACACUACUACGAUCAACAACGACGAUAACUAGGAAAGGAUUUCUAUAAGCUGAAAAAGUUGACUCUUCUUCUUCUUCUUCUUCCUCUUCCUAAAUUGGAUUCUGGGUUUUCUGAGGAGGAAAAAGUCAUCCAUUGAAGGAGGAGGUUUUGUUCCCUAAUUUCUCGUGAUAAUCAGUUUCAGGACAUCGAAUUCAACUUUCCAUGGUGCACAAAAACCCUAGAUGGGUGUUUCUCUUCUGAG